UACGGGGGGGGCAAGCGUUGUUCGGAAUUACUGGGCGUAAAGAGCUCGUAGGCGGUGUGUCGCGUCGGCCGUGAAAACCUGCAGCUUAACUGUGGGCUUGCGGUCGAUACGGGCAUCACUGGAGUUCGGUAGGGGAGACUGGAAUUCCUGGUGUAGCGGUGAAAUGCGCAGAUAUCAGGAGGAACACCGGUGGCGAAGGCGGGUCUCUGGGCCGAUACUGACGCUGAGGAGCGAAAGCGUGGGGAGCGAACAGG
rnacentral:rRNA from 1 species